UGAGAGCCCCGUCGUGCC
rnacentral:siRNA from 1 species